rnacentral:sRNA from 1 species
CUACAAGCGAAUAGGU